AAUCCAUAGGUUAAUGAGGCGAACCGGGGGAACUGAAACAUCUAAGUACCCCGAGGAAAAGAAAUCAACCGAGAUUCCCCCAGUAGCGGCGAGCGAACGGGGAGGAGCCCAGAGCCUGAAUCAGCAUGUGUGUUAGUGGAAGCGUCUGGAAAGGCGCGCGAUACAGGGUGACAGCCCCGUACACAAAAGCGCAUGUGCUGUGAGCUCGAUGAGUAGGGCGGGACACGUGGUAUCCUGUCUGAAUAUGGGGGGACCAUCCUCCAAGGCUAAAUACUCCUGACUGACCGAUAGUGAACCAGUACCGUGAGGGAAAGGCGAAAAGAACCCCGGCGAGGGGAGUGAAAAAGAACCUGAAACCGUGUACGUACAAGCAGUGGGAGCACCCUUUGGGGUGUGACUGCGUACCUUUUGUAUAAUGGGUCAGCGACUUAUAUUCUGUAGCAAGGUUAACCGAAUAGGGGAGCCGGAGGGAAACCGAGUCUUAACCGGGCGUUAAGUUGCAGGGUAUAGACCCGAAACCCGGUGAUCUAGCCAUGGGCAGGUUGAAGGUUGGGUAACACUAACUGGAGGACCGAACCGACUAAUGUUGAAAAAUUAGCGGAUGACCUGUGGCUGGGGGUGAAAGGCCAAUCAAACCGGGAGAUAGCUGGUUCUCCCCGAAAGCUAUUUAGGUAGCGCCUCGUGAAUUCAUCUCCGGGGGUAGAGCACUGUUUCGGCUAGGGGGCCAUCCCGGCUUACCAACCCGAUGCAAACUGCGAAUACCGGAGAAUGUUAUCACGGGAGACACACGGCGGGUGCUAACGUCCGUCGUGAAGAGGGAAACAACCCAGACCGCCAGCUAAGGUCCCAAAGUCAUGGUUAAGUGGGAAACGAUGUGGGAAGGCCCAGACAGCCAGGAUGUUGGCUUAGAAGCAGCCAUCAUUUAAAGAAAGCGUAAUAGCUCACUGGUCGAGUCGGCCUGCGCGGAAGAUGUAACGGGGCUAAACCAUGCACCGAAGCUGCGGCAGCGACGCUGAUGCGUUGUUGGGUAGGGGAGCGUUCUGUAAGCCUGCGAAGGUGUGUCGUGAGGCAUGCUGGAGGUAUCAGAAGUGCGAAUGCUGACAUAAGUAACGAUAAAGCGGGUGAAAAGCCCGCUCGCCGGAAGACCAAGGGUUCCUGUCCAACGUUAAUCGGGGCAGGGUGAGUCGACCCCUAAGGCGAGGCCGAAAGGCGUAGUCGAUGGGAAACGGGUUAAUAUUCCCGUACUUGGUGUUACUGCGAAGGGGGGACGGAGAAGGCUAUGUUGGCCGGGCGACGGUUGUCCCGGUUUAAGCGUGUAGGUGUGUGUUCCAGGUAAAUCCGGUUCACUUUAACACUGAGGCGUGAUGACGAGGCACUACGGUGCUGAAGCAACAAAUGCCCUGCUUCCAGGAAAAGCCUCUAAGCAUCAGGUAACAUCAAAUCGUACCCCAAACCGACACAGGUGGUCAGGUAGAGAAUACCAAGGCGCUUGAGAGAACUCGGGUGAAGGAACUAGGCAAAAUGGUGCCGUAACUUCGGGAGAAGGCACGCUGACACGUAGGUGAAGUGAUUUACUCAUGGAGCUGAAGUCAGUCGAAGAUACCAGCUGGCUGCAACUGUUUAUUAAAAACACAGCACUGUGCAAACACGAAAGUGGACGUAUACGGUGUGACGCCUGCCCGGUGCCGGAAGGUUAAUUGAUGGGGUCAGCGCAAGCGAAGCUCCUGAUCGAAGCCCCGGUAAACGGCGGCCGUAACUAUAACGGUCCUAAGGUAGCGAAAUUCCUUGUCGGGUAAGUUCCGACCUGCACGAAUGGCGUAAUGAUGGCCAGGCUGUCUCCACCCGAGACUCAGUGAAAUUGAACUCGCUGUGAAGAUGCAGUGUACCCGCGGCAAGACGGAAAGACCCCGUGAACCUUUACUAUAGCUUGACACUGAACAUUGAGCCUUGAUGUGUAGGAUAGGUGGGAGGCUUUGAAGUGUGGACGCCAGUCUGCAUGGAGCCGGCCUUGAAAUACCACCCUUUAAUGUUUGAUGUUCUAACGUGGACCCGUGAUCCGGGUUGCGGACAGUGUCUGGUGGGUAGUUUGACUGGGGCGGUCUCCUCCUAAAGAGUAACGGAGGAGCACGAAGGUUGGCUAAUCCUGGUCGGACAUCAGGAGGUUAGUGCAAUGGCAUAAGCCAGCUUGACUGCGAGCGUGACGGCGCGAGCAGGUGCGAAAGCAGGUCAUAGUGAUCCGGUGGUUCUGAAUGGAAGGGCCAUCGCUCAACGGAUAAAAGGUACUCCGGGGAUAACAGGCUGAUACCGCCCAAGAGUUCAUAUCGACGGCGGUGUUUGGCACCUCGAUGUCGGCUCAUCACAUCCUGGGGCUGAAGUAGGUCCCAAGGGUAUGGCUGUUCGCCAUUUAAAGUGGUACGCGAGCUGGGUUUAGAACGUCGUGAGACAGUUCGGUCCCUAUCUGCCGUGGGCGCUGGAGAACUGAGGGGGGCUGCUCCUAGUACGAGAGGACCGGAGUGGACGCAUCACUGGUGUUCGGGUUGUCAUGCCAAUGGCACUGCCCGGUAGCUAAAUGCGGAAGAGAUAAGUGCUGAAAGCAUCUAAGCACGAAACUUGCCCCGAGAUGAGUUCUCCCUGAGACUUAGAGUCUCCUGAAGGAACGUUGAAGACGACGACGUUGAUAGGCCGGGUGUGUAAGCGCAGCGAUGCGUUGAGCUAACCGGUACUAAUGAACCGUGAGGCUUAACCUU
rnacentral:rRNA from 1 species